AUGUUUCAGUUGAAAUUGUGCAAACAUAUUACAGUUACCACCAAGCACUCCUUAUUUCACUGAGGUAAUAAUUCAUAUGUGUGACAUGUACUGAAAUCAGUAUAACCGCAUUAUCUUUUCUUUUCUGUGCCCUUACUAUGCGAUGUUCAUCCUGAGCUUCCAAUUGGCAUACAACUGCAGAACAAGUGUACAACUGGAGACGGUAUGUUCUAAGACUGUCUAUCUAAAUGAAUAAUACUUAUAACGAAUCAUCAGUUGAAUCUGUACAGAUGUUCCAUGUUAUCAAUAAAGUAAUAUCUGAAGGUAAUCCAUUUUAUCUAUGCAACACACUGAAAUGAGACUUGUAUCACUGUAUUGUCUGUUCUGUUUUUGUGUCCAUACCAUGUGAGCACUAUCCUGAGAUUCCAAGAUGGUCAGUGUCCAGUCGAUCCAGCCUCGAAUUCAAACAAGUGAUCAUCAUUCACAAUCCUACAUCUCCCAUAAUUGCUCUUCUUUCUUGAGCUAAUUUCUGCAAUACGCUACAUGUGAAACUUCCUCCUUAUCCUAUAUUUGAUUCUCUAAGCCAUGAAAGUUUUUAUGAAGCAGCACAAAACCAAUAAAAAGGUUUGUGCAUCAAAACCCAAUAUCUACUGUCAACUACUAUCAAAAGAUUUCUGCAAUAUGCUACACUUCAAACUUCCUUCUCCAUUUUGAUUCUCCACUCCAUGAACUGUUUUUAUAAAGCAGCACAAAACCAAUAAAAGGUAAAUUUAAUUUGUAUAAUAUUUGCA
ensembl:lncRNA